rnacentral:tRNA from 1 species
AUAUUCUUAUUAUAAAAAGUAUGUAAAAUUUAGAUUUUUAAGGUUGUAGAAUAUA